AGGAAAUGACCUCAUUCUUGAUGGCUGCUGCUAACUUAUGGUGAGAUGCUGGGUCCCUGCCCAAUACCACAUGGACAUCCAAUCAAUUUACCCAGGGACAAGUCCACUCAAGAGCAUCAUUUAGAAGAGGGAAAAGGCACUGGGGUUAUUUGUUUUUGGAGUAUGUGCUUAAGGAAAUCUAGAGUAUUCCCACGAGCAUUCUGCUGAGAUGAACAAUCAGAUGACCUCGUGUGAGAUUUGGAGGAGAGAAGGAAAUGGAGAGCAUGCGUCUGCCGCUUCUGUGGUUUCUGUCGCAACCUUCGUGGGACUCAUUGCUGCUGGAGGCCUCAUAAAUAUUCUAGGGCUACAAUGCCCUGCAAAAAACCCAUCAGCACUGGCAACCCUGACCCUCUUCUCUGUGGUUAGAUGGGAGCCAGGGCCAAGGGACAUGCAAGG
rnacentral:lncRNA from 10 species